GGGAGAGCUCUUGGCCGCAGCUCUCCAGUCUGGAUGAGGCUGCCAGAGGGAAGCUACGUGUUCGCCCAUCCACAUUUAUGUCUUGCCCCUUUUCAGGGUUGCUACAUUAACAUGUUCACCUGUGGAGGAAGCACUUACUCUUGAAGGACAAGAUCCACCCCGGUGACGUCGCGCCUCAAGGAUGCGUGGAUCUCCACUAUCCAGUGUGCAGCGGCAGCUUUACUUUCACUUGUAUGUUCCCAAAUACCAGAGACUCUCCAACGACGCCAGAAAAAGUAGAUACUGUAUAUUUGUGGCUAGUCGCUUUUGAUAAAAUAUGUCACCAUGUGGGUUUGGAAUGUCGCCAGAUGUAGCACGGAGGGCUGACACACACAGCAGAGCGAGAAAGACCUCCAUGUCUAGAUACAAGAGAACAGCGCAAAUCCAGUCUAUAUCGAUGUGAAUGAUAUGUUUUUUUAUAUGGUGCCUAAACGAAAUAUAGGUAGAUCAAGGGUACCCUUUGCUGUCUUCAACUUAACUUGAGUAGUAUUUGAAAUUGUUGUUCUAACAAUGUGUACUCUCCCUAUCACUCUGACGUUUAUAGAGUGAGGAAGCUUACCAAACCAUAAAUUAAGCCUGUUCAUGUUUUUAUUCUUGCACUAGCACGGCUAUGUUGUAAAAAAAGUGUCUAUAUUUGGACAUUGAAAUGUUACAUGUAAAGCAUGUCUACUUUUGUUGUGAAAUUAACAAUAUUUUCUCUGAUCAUUUUGUCAUGA